UCAGGAGGAAAAGUCUGAUUUUAAUUCUGAGAAGUCAGAGUCUUGAAGGCAUUCAUGCACACGUGCCUGCAGACGUCUGAAAUUUGACAGAGGACUGGGACCUUUCCAUCACUCAGCAGCCCUUCAAAGCCACAUUCCUCAUUGAUACCUGAUGCUUGCUCUUUAGUACUCUGCUGCUCAGAUUAAUGAAAAGCUCAGCUGCGAUGCUGAUGCAAUGAAACGCUGGAUGCCUGGAGUUGGAGCAACAGAACAAGGAAAAAGCCUCUUUCAGCUGCUGAGAAGCAACUGAUCCGCUGCAGGCGAGGAGCUGCAGGGAGCAGGGACGUUAGUAACGCGGGUUCUGUGCGCAAUUCAUUCAGUCAUAUGGAAGCACACCCAGACUGUGUAGAAUUAAACUGAUGGUGCUAUAUAUGAUCGAUAUAGCCUACAAGGUUCCAAAUCUCCAUAAAACACCCUGAAGUCCUUUCAGGGUCACUGUGGGGCCGGUGCCAAUCUCCAGCCGUCUAUGAGCAAGUGUCGGGGUACAUCCUGGACAGGUCGCCGGGUCGCGUAGGGGUCGGUGCCUAUCUCCAGCAGUCUAUG